rnacentral:lncRNA from 1 species
AUAAUUGCAACACGAACAACCCCAUCACCACCCUCACCGGCGGCGACUCUUUCUUUACCUUGAAUCGUCCAGGACCUUUUUACUUCAUCAGUGGUAAUAGAUCUCACUGUAACGAAGGUCAGAAGCUAGAGGUGGUUGUUAUAUCGCCUAAAACGAAGCCGUCACAUUCCGCCGCUCCACCUCCGGGAGUUUCACUUGCUCCAAUGGUCUCCCCAGGCUCCCCUGUUUCAUCACCACCAGAAUCUGGAACAUCUGGACCGACUGCUCCGAUGGGUUCCCCUAUGUCUUAUUCUUCACCACCAGAACCUGGAACUUCUCCGAUGGCCUCCCCUUUUUCGUCACCACCAGAAUAUGGAGCUACUCCGAUGGUUGCCCCCACUGGAGGUAUCUCAGCUUCUCCAACAGGUAAUCCGUCUGACGUGAACGGACAAUCACCGAAUGGAUCACCGGAAGGGUCGCCGUCGUCUUCGUCGGCAAGACUACCAGUUUCAACAACCUUGACUGUCUCAUUUGUCCUUAUGAUAGUUGGGUUGGUGUGGUUUUAUUAGAGUGUUUAUUUUCUUAGAGUGGUAAUCUAUUACAAUUUUUUUUUCUUG